AUUGAACGCUGGCGGCAGGCUUAACACAUGCAAGUCGAGCGGAGCGAGGGUGCUUGCACCUUAGCUUAGCGGCGGACGGGUGAGUAAUGCUUAGGAAUCUGCCCAUUAGUGGGGGACAACAUUCCGAAAGGAAUGCUAAUACCGCAUACGCCCUACGGGGGAAAGCAGGGGAUCUUCGGACCUUGCGCUAAUAGAUGAGCCUAAGUCGGAUUAGCUAGUUGGUGGGGUAAAGGCCUACCAAGGCGACGAUCUGUAGCGGGUCUGAGAGGAUGAUCCGCCACACUGGGACUGAGACACGGCCCAGACUCCUACGGGGGGCAGCAGUGGGGAAUAUUGGACAAUGGGCGGAAGCCUGAUCCAGCCAUGCCGCGUGUGUGAAGAAGGCCUUUUGGUUGUAAAGCACUUUAAGCGAGGAGGAGGCUACUUAGAUUAAUACUCUGGGAUAGUGGACGUUACUCGCAGAAUAAGCACCGGCUAACUCUGUGCCAGCAGCCGCAGUAAUAC
rnacentral:rRNA from 1 species